rnacentral:rRNA from 1 species
CAAGUCGAACGGCAGCACGGGAGCAAUCCUGGUGGCGAGUGGCGAACGGGUGAGUAAUAUAUCGGAACGUACCUUUCAGUGGGGGAUAACGUAGCGAAAGUUACGCUAAUACCGCAUAUUCUGUGAGCAGGAAAGCAGGGGAUCUUAGGACCUUGCGCUGAUUGAGCGGCCGAUAUCAGAUUAGCUAGUUGGUGAGGUAAAGGCUCACCAAGGCGACGAUCUGUAGCGGGUCUGAGAGGAUGAUCCGCCACACUGGAACUGAGACACGGUCCAGACUCCUACGGGAGGCAGCAGUGGGGAAUUUUGGACAAUGGGGGCAACCCUGAUCCAGCCAUGCCGCGUGAGUGAAGAAGGCCUUCGGGUUGUAAAGCUCUUUCAGCCGGGAAGAAAACGCAUGGGUUAAUACCCUGUGUGGAUGACGGUACCGGAAUAAGAAGCACCGGCUAACUACGUGCCAGCAGCCGCGGUAAU